AGAUGAUAGAGCUUCUUGGGGGUAAAGCUGGAGUUUCAUGUGGUAGGUUUCAUUAUGGCAGUGCCUUUGGGGAACCAAGCGGUCAUGCAGACACAGUUGAAGCUAUGAGUGAAAUUCUUGUGAACAAAGGCUUUAGCUACAACGGCAAAGACUUUCUGUAUUCAGGUCCUAGAUAAAAUGCAUGCUCGAG